rnacentral:rRNA from 1 species
CACAGGUGUUGCAUGGCUGCCGAUCAGAUCGUGGUGCCGAACUGUUAUUUUCGUAUUAAAAUAUCACGAUCAACUCCCUUACCCAAAGGUUUAUAAUUUAUAAUUAUAAAUAUUGUGGACUGUUGUGCGUUUAUAGACGUACAAAGGUAGAUAGGUCGACGACAAGUCCUCAUGGCCCAGAUGAAAUAGGCUAUACGUGUGUUACAAUGAACGUCUCAAUAAGUUGCAAACAUAUAUGUAUAAUUUUAUUAUAUAGUAUAAAUGGGAGCGAUUCUUUUAAAAACGUUCUUGUUCAGACUAUUCUCUGAAACUCGGGAAUAUAAAGGCGGAAUCACCAGUAAUCGCGGAUCAGCACGCCGCGGUGAAACACAAAAACUUACCCGGGGCACUCACCGCCCGUCACGUUCUGAAAGGAUGCUAGGCUGGAAAAUAUGCAUGCGAUAAAUUGAAUGUAGAUAUAAAUAUAUCUCGAAUGAUAUAAUAGAUUAUUGAUUUUUUGGUAUGAAAUAUUUAAGGUCUGGUAACCAAUUGGAAUAAAGUCGUAACAUGGUACGACUACCGGAAGGUGGUCGUGGAACG